rnacentral:lncRNA from 1 species
GUUUAUUAAUUUUUUUUAAAGAUUUUAUUUGUUUAUUCAUGAGAGACAGGGAGAGAGGCAGAGACACAGGCAGAGAGAGAAGCAGGCUCUAUGCAGGGAGCCCGAUGUGGGACUCAAUCCCACAUCCCCGGGAUCAUGCCUUGAGCUGAAGGUAGAUGCCCAAUCACCAAGCCACCCAGGUGUCCCAGAUUUGCGAUGUUUAAGAAGCAUCUCCACACUUAGCAAUUCCCUGUUUCUUACCUUCCCUGCUUUUCUCAGUGCUGGGGAUGUCCCUGGCUUCUUUCUUCCCGAUCCUGCCUACUUGGGAGUCUGUUCCAGAAGCUUCUUCUCUGUGUGGGGCUCGCCUGAGGGGAGGCUUCUGAGCUGGUCCUGCUGGGCUGCCUACCAGGGGCCCAGACUGGGAGGCUCACAUAAGCAGCAUUUGUUUUCUCCCAGCCAUGAAGGUCAGGGUCCAAGGUCAAGAUUCUGCAGGAUUUGGCCUCUGCUGGCGCACAGCCAGCCCUGUGUCCUCCCACAGCCUCCCUGGGAGUGCACUGCAGGGGAGAGCCGGCUCUGUCUCAGGCCACCAGUCCUGUCUCAUUGGAGCUCCGCCUAUGUGACCUCCCUGCUGACCCAGCUCCAAGCCAGCCAUCCUGGGGCCGGGGCCUUCCGCGUGGGGUCCUGGGGGGCAUGGACAUGCAGUUCCCACAGCUCCUUAGUUGAGGUACUCUGGCGGAGGGAAAAUAUGCCACCACCGCCAACCCCGCCCCACAUCAUCCUCUCAAGUCCGACCCAGGAAGCAUCACCGCCGGAGCACUGGCACUGAGGUGAAUGCUGCUGACACUUAACCACCAAAUGACGGAAGUGUGGGGUCAGAGGAACGUGUGGAAUCACACUGUUGAGAUUUAGCCAGCAAAGCCCAGAAUACGGGAAACUCAACAGAACAAUCGACUUCCUCCAAGGGGGAUAUUAUGGCAUAGAUGGAGUCCCGGGAUGAAUAUGGACCGGAAUCAACCCGGGUACCUCGCCUGGUGUCGGUUUCGGUCACUCUGAGCAGAAGAGCCAGGCAGCUGAAGAAGCUCCAGGUGGACGGACGGCCACAUGUGCGACUCUGAGGAACUGCUGUGGAUCUCUUUUGAUGUCACACAUUUUUUGAAAGUCUUUCUCUGCAAAUGGACGUUUCUGUCCUGAAAGACGAAGAGUCCCCAUCAGCCCUUGGCCCACCAGGCUCGGCGCUCCCCCCAUUGGGGACCACAAGGUGGGCAACUUCCUAACUGGUCACCCCUCCUCUGUUGGUUAGCUGUGACUCUGGUAAGGAUUGACUACUCUUCAUCACCCAUUUGGUUGCCCUGGAAAGUGGUCUAUAGGGACGGGCAGGAUAAAUACUGAUUCUUGUCCUUUAUCAGGUUCUUGGGUAGUGAUCUGAUGCCCUCCAGAACUGACCAGCGAGAUUGUUUUUGUUUGUAGCAUCAUCAUGCUUGCAUGUAUUUCUAUAUAUCUGGUGUGCCUCCAUAUGGAGUCACUGUUUUCUUCAUUGAUGGUCAAAUUGUGCUCUCUCUGGCCAGUCGGGACCCCAUUAAGGGCAUUCCAUGUUGGUAAGGACCCUUUUCUCUCUCUCUCUCUCUCUCUCUCUUUUUUAAAGAUUUUAUUUAUUUAUUUGUGAGAGACAGAGACAGGGAGAGAGAGAGAGAGAGAGAGAGAGAGAGAGAGAGAGAGNNNNNNNNAGAGACACAGGAGGGAGAAGCAGGCUCCAUGCAGGAAGCCAGACGCGGGACUCCAUCCCCGGUCUCCAGGAUCUCGCCCUGGGCUGAAGGUGGUGCUAAACCACUGAGCCACCAGGGCUGCCUCUUUUCUCUUUUAAUAGCAUUUUUGCUAGGUGUGACAAUGCCCUGGGGUCAUCUUCUACCUUUCCUGCUUUAGACCCAGCAGCAAAAAUUUCCCCAGGAAGCUCUGGAGGAAUGCUAUGUAGAGGCCAGAUUCUGGGUGUUGGGGACCCUUGUCCUUACAGUUGGUUCUUAGGUCUAGCCUUGUUUGAUAGAGACAGGAAAUAUGUAUUUUCUGAAGGGAAAAAUUAAAUCAGUCCAUACUGUUACUUUCAAUAAAAGCAUAUUUUGUACUCCUUUGACUUUGUGU